GAUGAACGCUAGCGGCAGGCCUAACACAUGCAAGUCGAGGGAGAGGUUACCUUCGGGUAACCAAAACCGGCGCACGGGUGCGUAACGCGUAUACAAUCUGCCUUUCACAUAGGGAUAGCCCGAAGAAAUUUGGAUUAAUACCUAAUGGUAUAUAAGAGCGGCAUCGUUUUUAUAUUAAAGCUACGGUGGUGAAAGAUGAGUAUGCGUUCUAUUAGCUAGUUGGAGAGGUAACGGCUCCCCAAGGCGACGAUAGAUAGGGGUUCUGAGAGGGAUGUCCCCCACACUGGUACUGAGGUACGGACCAGACUCCUACGGGAGGCAGCAGUGAGGAAUAUUGGACAAUGGUCGGAAGACUGAUCCAGCCAUGCCGCGUGCAGGAGGAAGGUCCUAUGGAUUGUAAACUGCUUUUGUAAGGGAAGAAUAAGGAGUACGUGUACUUUGAUGACGGUACCUUACGAAUAAGCAUCGGCUAACUCCGUG
rnacentral:rRNA from 1 species